CCCGCUGAACUUAAGCAUAUCAAUAAGCGGAGGAAAAGAAAAUAACAAUGAUUUCCCCAGUAACGGCGAGUGAAGAGGAAAGAGCUCAAAGUUGGAACCUGUUUGGCUUAGCUAAACCGGAUUGUAAACUGUAGAAGUGUUUUCCUGACACGCCUGGUAAAAAAGUCCUUUGGAACAGGGCAUCAUAGAGGGUGAGAAUCCCGUCUUUGGCCAGAGCUGUUGUCUUUUGUGAUACAUUUUCAAAGAGUCAGGUUGUUUGGGAAUGCAGCCUAAAUUGGGUGGUAAAUCUCACCUAAAGCUAAAUAUUUGCGAGAGACCGAUAGCGAACAAGUACCGUGAGGGAAAGAUGAAAAGAACUUUGAAAAGAGAGUUAAACAGUAUGUGAAAUUGUUAAAAGGGAACCGUUUGGAGCCAGACUGGCUUGACUGUAAUCAAUCUAGGCUUCGGCCUGGAUGCACUUGCGGUCUAUGCCUGCCAACGACAGUUUUAUUUGGGGGAAAAAAUUAUUGGGAAUGUGGCCUUUCGAGGUGUUAUAGCCCUUUAAAAAAUACCCUGGAUUGGACUGAGGAACGCAGUGAAUGCCUUUAGGCAAGAUUGCUGGGUGCUUUCGCUAAUAAAUGCUAGAAUUUCUGCUUCGGGUGGUGCUAGUGUUUAAAGGUGGAACUCGCUUAGUAUAUUUUUUAUUCGCUUAGGUUGUUGGCUUAAUGACUCUAAAUGACCCGUCUUGAAACCACGGAAGGGCGAAAAUUCGCCGGGCCCUGGCCUU
rnacentral:rRNA from 1 species